rnacentral:lncRNA from 1 species
UAUCAAUUUAGUGCCAUGUGGUUUUAUUUUUAUCUUUUUAUUAUUGAUUUCACUAAUUUUUUUCUUUAAAUCAAUGACAAAGUUAAAACUAAAAGGUACUAAAAUAAAUAUUCGAUAAAUCUAGGUAAGGUAUCUGAAGUUUUUUAUUUAUAAUUUAAUAAAAUAUUAAUAAAGAAGCUGAUGAAAAGAUAAAAAUGACAAAGAGCUUAGUGGUUGGUACUCGAGACCAAAGCUCGAAUCCUAUUUGAUUCACAUUUCCAACUAAGUUUAUUUCUAAAUGAAAUAAACGAAGCGGGUAGCAUGGUACCUAUCUCUCAAAAAAAAAGAAAAAAAGAAAAAAAAAGAUAAGAUAAAAAUGAAACCACAGGUUACUAACUUUGAUACAUUUUAAACCACAAAGUACUAAAGUGAGAAAGUGCGAAA